rnacentral:lncRNA from 1 species
CCACUCAAAAUUACAUACAUGUAUACAUAUGAAAAUAUCCGUAAAAUGAUAAUCAAUACUGAAAUAAUUAAUAUCUUGUUAUUUCUAACAUGAUUAAAUGAAAAUCUCUUGGAAGAUUUGGACCUUACAUGGUAGAUAUAUGCCAUCUCCUUUCUUAAAUCCACAGCAAACCGUUCCUGGCUCAUCAACCAUGCCAUAUCCAGAAUUAAUCGGAGAUUAUGUGGAGGCUAAGAAUGGAUGACAGACGGAAUUUAUAUUC